UGUGAAGGAAAGGUGAAAAGGACCCCGGGAGGGGAGUGAAAGAGAACCUGAAACCCUGUGUUUACAAGCUGUGGAAGUACUUUAUAUGUACGACCGCGUACUUUUUGUAGAACGGUCCGGCGAGCUGCGGAUGCUGGCGAGGUUAAGCACUGAAGGUGCGGAGCCGAAGGGAAACCAUGUCUGAACAGGGCGUCAACAUCUCCUAUGGAGAUGCAGUCAGUAUACGCAGACCCGAAACCGGGUGAUCUAUCCAUGUCCAGGAUGAAGUUGCCGUAAAAGGCAGUGGAGGUCCGAACGCACAUCCGUUGAAAAGGGUGGCGAUGAGGUGUGGAUAGGGGAGAAAUUCCAAUCGAACCCGGAGAUAGCUGGUUCUCCUCGAAAUAGCUUUAGGGCUAGCCUCGUGAGAGUCAGGCGGAGGUAGAGCACUGAAUACCCGAGGGGGCGUCAAAGCUUACCAAAGGUUAUCAAACUCCGAAUGCCGCGCUGAUGCUUCACGGGAGUCAGACUACACGAGAUAAGUUGGGUGGUCAAAAGGGAAACAGCCCAGACCUGCAGCUAAGGUCCCAAAGUGCGUGUUAAGUGGAAAAGGAUGUGGGAUUUCGAAGACAACCAGGAUGUUGGCUCAGAAGCAGCCACACAUUCAAAGAGUGCGUAAUAGCUCACUGGUCGAGAGGUCCUGCGCCGAAAAUGUCCGGGGCUCAAACACGCCACCGAAGCUCAGGAAUGUAUUUAUACAUUGGUAGAGGAGCAUUGUCAGUGCACUGAAGCUGUACCGGUAAGGAGCAGUGGAGCGCUGAGAAGAGAGAAUGCCGGAAUGAGUAGCGAGAAAGAGGUGAGAAUCCUCUUGGCCGAAUAUCCAAGGAUUCCGGGGUAAAGCUGAUCUGCCCCGGGUAAGUCGGGACCUAAGGCGAGGCAGAAAUGCGUAGCCGAUGGACAGCAGGUGGAGAUUCCUGCACUGCCAUAUAUCAGAAAUGUGGGGACGCAUCAGGAAAGUGUGGGCCGGGAAAGGAAAGACCGGUGCAAGCGGAGGAGGGGACAUGCAGGCAAAUCCGCAUGUCAACCCAAGAGCGUUAUGCGGAGCGAAGAAUAGUAGCGAAGCACACGGACAGGGUGCCGAGAAAAGCCGCUAUCGUGUAUAUGGUACCCGUACCGUAAACCGACACAGGUGGAUGAGGAGAGAAUCCUAAGGCCGGCGGGAGAAGCAUUGUUAAGGAACUCGGCAAAAUGGCCCCGUAACUUAGGGAUAAGGGGUGCCACAGUGAUGUGGCCGCAGAGAAUAGGCUCAAGCAACUGUUUAGCAAAAACACAGGUCUAUGCGAAACCGAGAGGUGAGGUAUAUGGGCUGACGCCUGCCCGGUGCUGGAAGGUUAAGAGGAGAGGUCAGGAAACGAAGCCUUGAAUUGAAGCCCCAGUAAACGGCGGCCGUAACUAUAACGGUCCUAAGGUAGCGAAAUUCCUUGUCGGGUAAGUU
rnacentral:rRNA from 1 species